ensembl:lncRNA
CUUUGAGUUUCACUUCUGAUACCUGCAGUUUCCUUGUACCUUCUCACCAGAGCAUAAGUAAAACACAACUGGAACUACACAGCUUCCAAGAGUCAAUGUUGCAUUUUGCUGAGAUAGAAAAAUGUAAUGAGAACUCUUAGGCUGUUGCUUUGAAAGGAGCUGAUAAAUAACAAAAGACCCUCACUAGGAAGAGAAAAGUAGAGAAUCAGCCAGAAAUGGCACCAGUUGCUGGUCUGCGGGGAAAAGCCCAGGGCUCUGAUCUCCAUCCCACUUGUGUCUUUCUGGGUCCAAAGCAUCAGCCUACAGCAAGGAGAACAACAGAGAUGGGAUAAGGCAAGAGCACGUGUUGCUGUGUAGAGCCUGUCUGCCCCACCUUGUCUGCAUGAAAACACAACCAAAUGGAUGCCAAGCCUAUUGCUGAUGAGGAUUUUCCUUCACCUACUUGCAUGCCCUGAGCUCCUUUUGUAUAGCUUUGUUUCAGCUAAAGGUCACUGUAUGGAGCCACUGACAAUUGUGUUCUACUGGUGACUUUGCUAACCCAUCUGGCCUGCUUAAGAUGCAAAAUGCCUUUGGGUUCAUCUGUCACCUCCAACACUCCUUUGUUGCCUUAACCCAAGACCUCAACUCCACACGCCUCAUCUCUCUCUUCUCCCAAACCAUUUUCAGGUCUGUGAUCCUUUUUCUGACACAUUUUCUGCGUCUUCUCAUGUAGGGCACCCAAACCCACCACGAUGACUUCGCCCCAGUUACUGAGUCACCUUGUAAACCAUACUGCAGGGCAUUAGAAGAGGCGUACAGCCCAUCUAUGGCCACAUAUCACAAGCAUUUCUGUGUACUUAAUGAAGAGUCUUUACAGAGAAAUCUAAAUUUUUAAAAAUAUAUUUUUAUUUGUUUUUGAUUUUUUUCCUAUAUAGAAAAAUCUAUUUAUUACUGUUUUUUAUUUCAUACCACCUGGAGGAAGGGGAGCAGAGUUUAGAAGGAAUUGAAGCAAAGCAGAAGAGAAAGCUGCUGAAAGCAAAAAUAUUGUCCCAGAAAGUGUUUUAAUGGAUUCAAUUCUCACCCUCAUUCUUCUUGAGCAUUCAUUCGCUGUUCAAUGUGUGAGUACAAAAAAUGUAUUUUUCUUAUUCUGACAUACAUUUCCAAAGCAGCCCUGUUCCUUGAGUGCUGGAUGCUAUUGGAGAAACUCAUAGAAUCAUAGAACGGCCUAGGCUGGAAACAUCCUCAAAGGUCAUCCAGCCCCAACCCGGGGCCAUGGGCAGGAUUACCACCUUCCAGAUCAGGCAGCCCAGGGCCCCAUCCAACCUGGCCUUGAGCACCUCCAGAGAUGGAGCACCCACAGCUUCUCUGGGCUUUUCAUCCGGCUUCUCAUUUUGCAAUGAGAGAAUUUUUCACCCUAGAUUUUGUCCACGAGAUCCAGAGCAGAUGUUUUCUUAAAGAGCCAACAAAGAAGCCAUCACACACCACUUCCACAGUCAUCUCAGCCAAGAGUUACGACUUCAUCUUUGUGUAAACAGUGUCAAUUGGACCUCUAUUAUACUCCUUCUCCUCUCUGACCAUGUGAAAACAAAAUGCUGACAGCAAAAUUCUGCUCUUUACAACACAUACAACAAAAAUGGCCAGAAAUUCAUGAUGGCUAUCUGGCUUAAUGCACAAACCCAACAUGUUCGAAGCUGCUUCUUGUAUAUUUUGGCCUUGAUUUUGCAAACAAAACGCCAGCAAUAGCCAAGUGAAAACAGAGCAAACAGAGCAGAAAAGGCUGUCUCACCCUUGGUGACAGUCGGUCAUUGGACUGGCUUCUUGCACAAUGAGGGAUUCUUGCAGCGUGGCUGCCAACCCCAUCCAUGUCAGACCUUUCCCUCCCUGAUCAAAGGCUUUGGCUGAUGUAAGUCAUGAUGUUUCACUGAACCUGAGUGACCGAGGAGAGAAAGGACAAGAGGUGUUUUAUCCAGACUGGGACCUGAUCUCCAGCAGAGGGGAAACAUUCACCCAGCUGGGAGGAGGAGAUGUUUAUUAUUAGGCUGUGUAAAAGUUAGCUACAAUACAGAGCCAAUUCACAGGAGCAAUAAUUCCUGGUCAAAACCUUAGCCAGUUUAGAUUGAUUAUGUAUUUUUUUUAUGCUGUCUUACAUCAGUAGGAGGAUCUAAACAUUUUGGUUUGUUGUAAGAUGUUGGAGAAACUCAGUUCAACACGUGCCAUACCCAAGGGUCUCCUUAAAAUAGCAACAUUACAAAGGCUUCUUUUAGUGCUGCAUUCCUUCUGGGUUCAUUAUACACACAUUCAUGGAUACAAUCUGAAAGAAAAACAAAACAAAACUUAGAUGUCCAAAUUACCUUUGCCUUGACAUAAAGAGAUGCCUGGAACAGAUCUGCUGGAGAAUGGAGUCCUGUGCCCCCCAGUGGGAAGAGACCGGACAAACAACAGCAGACAUCUGGAUGUGCAGAAGAGCUCAUUCCCCUCUCAAAGGUCUGCAGAGAGGGGGAAGAGUUGCCUUGUAACCCUGGCUGAGAGAAUACACAAUGUCUGGGGAUGAAUAGAGAUAAUAAAAGCAUUUUCCUGGGGCACUGCCCCCCAAAAAUGAGCAAACUCAGCUGUUUCGUGUUUGACCUCGCAUAAAUCCGGAUUUCCAAUGGCGGUAGGACCUAAAAGCGGAGGGCUUGAUCCUCAGCACCCAAUGAGUCAGGCAGAGAGAGAGACCCUUUUCAUGUGGGGAAAGAACUGGGCAGUUUGCUUGGGAAGAGAAGUGCUGGAAUGAUGCAAAUUGGGAAAUUCUCACAUGCUUUCCUCUGGUGCCUGACUGAGAGCCCCAGCCAUGGUUUAGGCCUUAAGUUGAUUCAGGGGAGGUUCAGAUUGGAUGUUAGGAAACAUUUCUUCUCCAAAAGAGUGGCAAUGCAGUGGCACAGCUGCCCAGGGAGGUGGUGGGGUCACCAGCCCUGGAGGUUUUCCUGAACCAUGGAGAUGUGGCACUGAGGGAUGUGGGCAAUGGGCAUGGUGGGGUGGGUUGGGGUUGGUGAUCUCAGAGGUCUUUUCCAAACCUUAAUGAUUCCAUGAUUGUGUGAUUCACUGUGUCUUUAGAGGGCCCUCAGUCAUACAGUCCAACUGCUCAGCUCCCACAAGCCUGCUCUGCCCACCUCAUCUGGCCUCACUCCUAUCUUGCACUGAGUGCCAUGGGAGCUGGGUUACAUCCUCUACUUGAAGAAACUGCUCUUUAGAGCUGCAUUUGAUGCUCAUGACUCCAAAGACCUGCAGCCCUUGCAACUCCUAUCUUCCCAGAAAGGAGCAACGAAGGAAACGCAGACUGCUGCAAUUGGAUUUGGGGAAUCCUGUGGUGUUGGGUUUACAUUGUUUGAAGAUAACAGGGAUCCAGAAUAACAUCUGCCAUAUUCUUGGUGGCCAUAAGAGUGGGGCUCUGCUGGGCCAACUUUGAGCUGGGGUUGGAGGGAGGGAAAAGUUUCCUUCUUGCACAGCUUCAGCAGUUCAGCAGUAUCUGCCCUUAAUCAUUAAAUGAUUGGAUGGAGAAAUUACCAGCAUAAAGGCAUCCCUGGCCCAGUCCCAGCACACGAGGGACUGGAUACAAAGGGGUGACCAAAGUCUGGAUGUCUCUUAAACCAGAUCAGAUCCUGCUUUAUUUGCAUCACCACCCAGUAGCAGCAGGAGGUGGGGAGCAAUGCAAUAUAUGAGGCGUUCUCUUGCUCCUUCCCUCUUUCCCACCCAAAAAAUAAUAAUAAAUUUAAAAAAAACAGCAAAAGAGAUGCUAUGGGACUCAUGAAACUUUGCAGCAGAGUUAUUUUUCUUCCCCCCCUUCUUCUCAGACAGACUAUAGAGCCUCGGGUACACAUUUGCUCAGUUGCCUAUACUUAAACACGCACAGACGCUCAGCUCCCACCAGGGAUGGAGGCUGUCCCACCCCUUUGGUUGAGCAGAUUGGAGAGAAGUGAGCCAACA